GAGGAUAUGAUUCUACUAUCUUUUGGCUUUAUUGUUGCCGUGAGAAGUAAGCUGUCCUUUGUCAUUCUUUGAAGGUAAUCCCUUUCCUACCCUCACUCCUGGAUGCAGUUUCACAAUGCUAUGUCCAGACACAUAAAGAACCCAGAGCCAUGCCUUUACUCCCAGGAAUCUGUGAGGAACAACAGAAUGCCCUCCUUGGAAAGCUGGGUUUGGUGACCUGUCUGACUUCUUAGGAAUACAGAGCCAUUUAGAGACAAUUUGACAGUGACCCUUUAAACUUCAGUUCAUGGCCUCUAAAGUCAUUCCGGUGCCAGUAAUCCUGAUUGCAAUCCAUAGGAAGAGCAUUUUAAAGAAGUUAUACUACUACUUUCUUGCUAAUGGAUUUCAGACAAGAAAGGCUCUGCAUCCUGGCAGUUUAUCAUCUCUGCAUGCACUGUGCUUUAGAUUCAGUCACCUCUGAAGCACAGGCAAAGCCUGCAGCAACCAAGCAGGGCAUUGCUUCAGUCUGUAUGUAAGAGUUAAUUGCAGUCCCACUCCUUGAAGUACUGCCACAAUUCCCUGCUUCACUGAAGAGUCUUUGAUAUCAACCUACUGCUCUUGGGAAGAUUACAACUUGUGCAUUUGGAUUCUUCUAGUCAAAGUACGCGAGAACACCAGGUCUGAAAGCAAAAUUGCUUUCUGUGCAGCAUGUAAUCUCCACACCUCUCAAUUCCCAUGGUAGGGGCACUGUAAACUGAGGAGCAGGCUUGUCUCUGAAAAGUAGCUCUUCACUUGUAGUUUCAAAGCAAUUUUUCAGUCCCAGAGGAUAAACGUCUUGCAUAUCUGCUGCAACUUGCAGAGAAGUUACGAUCCUUAUACACUAUGCUAUUGACCCACCACCAAUAGGAUAUGAUCUCUUGAGACAGUAUUUCCAAAAGAAAGCAUCUACACAUAUUUCCAAAAGAAAUGCUCCACAUUCAUUUCUGGAUUGUGUCUUUGAAAAAAUGGAAGUCAUCUGCCGAAGAGCUGAAGGUGGGUUUUCUUUGUUGUGUAUGGAUAUCGGACCUGAUAACUUAGGGCAUUAGGAAGAGUAAGUGACAUAAGAAAAUUUCAAAAUGCCUUCACGUGUUU